rnacentral:rRNA from 1 species
GACGAACGCUGGCGGCGUGCUUAACACAUGCAAGUCGAGCGGUAAGGCCCUUUCGGGGGUACACGAGCGGCGAACGGGUGAGUAACACGUGGGUGACCUGCCCUUAGCUCUGGGAUAAGCCUGGGAAACUGGGUCUAAUACCGGAUAUGACUCCAUGACGCAUGUUGUGGGGUGGAAAGCCUUGUGCGGCUAGGGAUGGGCCCGCGGCCUAUCAGCUUGUUGGUGGGGUGAUGGCCUACCAAGGCGACGACGGGUAGCCGGCCUGAGAGGGCGACCGGCCACACUGGGACUGAGACACGGCCCAGACUCCUACGGGAGGCAGCAGUGGGGAAUCUUGCGCAAUGGGCGAAAGCCUGACGCAGCGACGCCGCGU